UGGGGAAUAUUGCACAAUGGGCGAAAGCCUGAUGCAGCAACGCCGCGUGAGUGAUGAAGGUCUUCGGAUUGUAAAGCUCUGUCUUUUGGGACGAUAAUGACGGUAACCAAAGGAGGAAGCCACGGCUAACUACGUGCCAGCAGCCGCGGUAAUACGUAGGUGGCGAGCGUUGUCCGGAUUUACUGGGCGUAAAGGGUGCGUAGGCGGAUGUUUAAGUGAGAAUGUGAAAUACCCGGGCUUAACUUGGGUGGCUGCAUUUCAA
rnacentral:rRNA from 1 species